rnacentral:rRNA from 1 species
AAUUCGCCCUUAGAGUUUGAUCAUGGCUCAGAUUGAACGCUGGCGGCAUGCCUUACACAUGCAAGUCGAACGGUAACAGGUCUUCGGACGCUGACGAGUGGCGAACGGGUGAGUAAUACAUCGGAACGUGCCCAGUCGUGGGGGAUAACUACUCGAAAGAGUAGCUAAUACCGCAUACGAUCUGAGGAUGAAAGCGGGGGACCUUCGGGCCUCGCGCGAUUGGAGCGGCCGAUGGCAGAUUAGGUAGUUGGUGGGAUAAAAGCUUACCAAGCCGACGAUCUGUAGCUGGUCUGAGAGGACGACCAGCCACACUGGGACUGAGACACGGCCCAGACUCCUACGGGAGGCAGCAGUGGGGAAUUUUGGACAAUGGGCGAAAGCCUGACCCAGCAAUGCCGCGUGCAGGAUGAAGGCCUUCGGGUUGUAAACUGCUUUUGUACGGAACGAAAAAGCUUCUCCUAAUACGAGAGGCCCAUGACGGUACCGU